rnacentral:lncRNA from 1 species
ACCCGCCAGCCCCGCGCUCUACCAGGCAGAGCGCGUGUGGCCGCCGAGCACAUGGACCCACUGGUCAAGCGGGCUCGGCAAGGCCAGGAUGAAGAGAAGCUACGAACUUAGCAUUCCCAGAGCCCCCCGAGUGGAUAUCCGCGUGGAAAGGAUGUUGGCAGCCCCGGUGACCUCGGAGUCACGGCUGGAUCCACCCUCUUUAUACCCUUUAAGCGUUCCAGAAGGAUUUUGAGAUCCUUUCCUAAAUCAAAGGUGGAAUAUUUGGGGAUUUGGAAAAUUGAGUGUCUUCAGCCAAGGGAUGAGAACAGCGCAUGCUGCUGCUGCUGAUUCUGUGUGCUCAGGGCCCUUCUGUGGAGGAGCAGGAGAAUAGGCUUCAGAGAAAUCAGGAGCGGUGAAUGAUCGAAAUGGACCUUUGAGAUUACAGUGUGGAGCUGACAUUGCCAGUUAAGCCUGGGCAGAUCUGACUUAAUUGAUUUAGUUGUUGGAGCAGAGACAACCCAGAGGCUUGGAUCAGCCUCCCCAUCUGACAGUGUGCUGAUGUGAAGCGUUGACUUAAGAGAUGCCAAGUAACUCAGCAGAUGUCACACAGACGAUAAAUAGCAAAGAUGGAAGUCUUCAUGCCGGAGGCAAUCCUAUAAGACAGCUGAGUUCUGCAGAGCUGGUAGGAGACAGACUUGCUCAGGUGAUAGAUCCAGCCAUGAUACUGACCCUAAGAGAAUGAGACGCUCUGCAGAAGACAGAAGAUUCCUGAAACUGGGAAAGGUGCCUAGAAAUCCUGAUAAGAGUGAAGAAGGAGCUGGCAGAGCAGCCUUCCUCCGCACUAUGAAAGACAUCCAACAGAGAGCAAGUUCCCACCUCACUUCCAGCUUGACUCCUUUUUAUCUCCUAACUGUGGUCUGUGAUGUCUUCAGCAAUGGUAUUAACUAGUUCUGGGUACCUGGAGGCACAGCAGCCAUGUUGAACCUAUGAGGUGAUGAAAAACCAUGCAACUAGAAACCAGAAUGGAAGAAAAGAAGAAGCUGGAUCCUUGACUGAAUUGUCGAUGGGGGAUAGUCCAUCAUCCCAGGGCUAAGACCACCUCCAGAUUUCUUGUUUGGUGAAACAAGUCCUGAUUGUUUACAUUCCCUCGUGUUGAGCUGUCUCUUGCUUGUAGCUGAAAGCAUUUCUAAUAGAUAUUCAGAUUAUCAGCCUUAGCUCCAAGCUAGAAUACUCUAUGGGACCUUAGCUUCUCCAUGAAUUCCUUUGCUCAUCUGUGUAAUGCUCAAUAAAUGUAAAUUGAACCCUGAAUGAGGGACAAU